rnacentral:rRNA from 1 species
ACUCCUACGGGAGGCAGCAGUGGGGAAUAUUGCACAAUGGGCGCAAGCCUGAUGCAGCCAUGCCGCGUGUGUGAAGAAGGCCUUCGGGUUGUAAAGCACUUUCAGUCGUGAGGAAGGUAGUGUAGUUAAUAGCUGCAGUAUUUGACGUUAGCGACAGAAGAAGCACCGGCUAACUCCGUGCCAGCAGCCGCGGUAAUACGGAGGGGUGCGAGCGUUAAUCGGAAUUACUGGGCGUAAAGCGCAUGCAGGUGGUUUGUUAAGUCAGAUGUGAAAGCCCGGGGCUCAACCUCGGAAUAGCAUUUGAAACUGGCAGACUAGAGUACUGUAGAGGGGGUAGAA